rnacentral:rRNA from 1 species
GACCGAGCAACGCCGCGUGAACGAUGAAGUAUUUCGGUAUGUAAAGUUCUUUUAUUGAAGAAGAAAAAAUAGUGGAAAAACUAUCUUGACGUUAUUCAAUGAAUAAGCCCCGGCUAACUAUGUGCCAGCAGCCGCGGUAAGACAUAGGGGGCGAGCGUUAUCCGGAAUUAUUGGGCGUAAAGGGUGCGUAGGCGGUUAGGAAAGUCUAUAAUUUAAUUUCAGUGCUUAACGCUGUCUUGUUAUAGAAACUACCUUGACUAGAGUUAGAUAGAGGCAAGCGGAAUUCCAUGUGUAGCGGUAAAAUGUGUAAAUAUAUGGAGGAACACCAGAAGCGUAGGCGGCUUGCUGGGUCUUGACUGACGCUGAGGCACGAAAGCGUGGGUAGCAAACAGGAUUAGAUACCCUGGUAGUCCACGCCGUAAACGAUGAGUACUAAGUGUCGGGAUAAAACUCGGUACUGAAGUUAACACAUUAAGUACUCCGCCUGAGUAGUACGUACGCAAGUAUGAAACUUAAAGGAAUUGACGGGACUCCGCACAAGCGGUGGAUCAUGUUGUUUAAUUCGAAGAUACACGAAAAAUCUUACCAGGUCUUGACAUGCUCUGCAAAGCUAUAGAAAUAUAGUGGAGGUUAUCAGGGACACAGGUGGUGCAUGGUUGUCGUCAGUUCGUGUCGUGAGAUGUUAGGUUAAGUCCUAAAACGAGCGCAACCCUUGUCGUUAGUUACCAGCACGUAAUGGUGGGCACUUUAACGAGACUGCCAAUUAAACAUUGGAGGAAGGUGAGGAUUACGUCAAAUCAUCAUGCCCCUUAUGAUCUGGGCUACAAACGUGAUACAAUGGCU